rnacentral:rRNA from 1 species
AUCGAACGCUGGCGGCAUGCCUUACACAUGCAAGUCGAACGGUAACGCGGGGCAACCUGGCGACGAGUGGCGAACGGGUGAGUAAUGUAUCGGAACGUGCCCAAUAGUGGGGGAUAGCCCGGCGAAAGCCGGAUUAAUACCGCAUGAGACCUGAGGGUGAAAGCGGGGGAUCGCAAGACCUCGCGCUAUUGGAGCGGCCGAUAUCAGAUUAGGUAGUUGGUGGGGUAAAGGCCUACCAAGCCGACGAUCUGUAGCUGGUCUGAGAGGACGACCAGCUACACUGGGACUGAGACACGGCCCAGACUCCUACGGGAGGCAGCAGUGGGGAAUUUUGGACAAUGGGCGCGAGCCUGAUCCAGCCAUGUCGCGUGCGGGAAGAAGGCCUUCGGGUUGUAAACCGCUUUUGUCAGGGAAGAAAUCUUCUGGGUUAAUACCUCGGGAGGAUGACGGUACCUGAAGAAUAAGCACCGGCUAACUACGUGCCAGCCGCCGCGGUAAGAC